rnacentral:rRNA from 1 species
GAUGAACGCUGGCGGCGUGCCUAAUACAUGCAAGUCGAGCGAACGGACGAGAAGCUUGCUUCUCUGAUGUUAGCGGCGGACGGGUGAGUAACACGUGGAUAACCUACCUAUAAGCCUGGGAUAACUUCGGGAAACCGGAGCUAAUACCGGAUAAUAUUUUGAACCGCAUGGUUCAAAAGUGAAAGACGGUCUUGCUGUCCCUUAUAGAUAGCUCCGCUCUGCAUUAGUUAGUUGGUAGGGUAACGGCCUACAAAGGCAAGGAUCAAAAGCGGACCGGAAAGGGUGAUGGGCACCACUGGAACGGAGACACGGUCCAAACUCCUACGGGAGGAAGCAGUAGGGAAUCUUCCGCAAUGGGCGAAAGCCUGACGGAGCAACGCCGCUUGAGUGAUGAGGUUCUUCGGAUCUUAAACCUCUGUUAUAAGGGAAGAAGAUAUGUGUAAGUAACUGUGCACAUCUUGACGGUACCUAAUCAGAAAGCCACGGCUAACUACGUG